AUUGAACGCUGGCGGCAGGCUUAACACAUGCAAGUCGAGCGGGGUGAGGUGCUUCGGUACUGAUCCUAGCGGCGGACGGGUGAGUAAUGCUUAGGAAUCUGCCAUUUAGUGGGGGACAACAUUCCGAAAGGAAUGCUAAUACCGCAUACGUCCUACGGGAGAAAGCAGGGGAUCUACGGACCUUGCGCUAAAUGAUAAGCCUAAGUCGGAUUAGCGAGUUGGUGGGGUAAAGGCCAACCAAGGCGACGAUCUGUAGCGGGUCUGAGAGGAUGAUCCGCCACACUGGGACUGAGUCACGGCCCAGACUCCUACGGGAGGCAGCAGUGGGGAAUAUUGGACAAUGGGCGGAAGCCUGAUCCAGCCAUGCCGCGUGUGUGAAGAAGGCCUUUUGGUUGUAAAGCACUUUAAGCGAGGAGGAGGCUACCUGGAUUAAUACUCUGGGAUAGUGGACGUUACUCGCAGAAUAAGCACCGGCUAACUCUGUGCCAGCAGCCGCGGUAACAC
rnacentral:rRNA from 1 species